AUUGAACGCUGGCGGCAUGCUUUACACAUGCAAGUCGAACGGCAGCGCGGGCUUUCUGCCUGGCGGCGAGUGGCGAACGGGUGAGUAAUACAUCGGAACGUGCCCAGUAGCGGGGGAUAGCUCGGCGAAAGCCGGAUUAAUACCGCAUACGACCUGAGGGUGAAAGCGGGGGAUCUUCGGACCUCGCGCUAUUGGAGCGGCCGAUGGCAGAUUAGCUAGUUGGUGGGGUAAAGGCCUACCAAGGCGACGAUCUGUAGCUGGUCUGAGAGGACGACCAGCCACACUGGGACUGAGACACGGCCCAGACUCCUACGGGAGGCAGCAGUGGGGAAUUUUGGACAAUGGGCGAAAGCCUGAUCCAGCAAUGCCGCGUGUGUGAUGAAGGCCUUCGGUUGUAAAGCACUUUUGGGGGAACGAAAAGGACUGUGCCAAUACCACGGUUCGAUGACG
rnacentral:rRNA from 1 species